GACGUAGGGCGCGAGCGUUGUCCGGAUUUAUUGGGCGUAAAGAGCUCGUAGGCGGCUCAUUGCGUCAACCGUGAAAUCCUGCUGCUCAACGGCAGGUCUGCGGUUGAUACGGGUGGGCUGGAGUUCGGUAGGGGAGACUGGAAUUCCUGGUGUAGCGGUGAAAUGCGCAGAUAUCAGGAAGAACACCCGUGGCGAAGGCGGCUCUCUGGGACGGUACUGACGCUGAGACGCGAAAGCGUGGGGAGCGAACAGG
rnacentral:rRNA from 1 species